rnacentral:tRNA from 1 species
GUGGCCGAUGAUAGGCGGUAGGCUGUAGUCCUAUUUAUAUUGGUUUAAUUCCUUUCUUUAUCA